rnacentral:rRNA from 1 species
GAACGCUAGCUACAGGCUUAACACCUGCAAGUCGAGGGGAAACGACAUCGAAAGCUUGCUUUUGAUGGGCGUCGACCGGCGCACGGGUGAGUAACGCGUAUCCAACCUGCCCAUCACUUGGGAAUAACCUUGCGAAAGUAAGACUAAUACCCAAUGAUAUCCCACGAAGGCAUCGGAAUGGGAUUAAAGAUUUAUCGGUGAUGGAUGGGGAUGCGUCUGAUUAGCUUGUUGGCGGGGUAACGGCCCACCAAGGCAACGAUCAGUAGGGGUUCUGAGAGGAAGGUCCCCCACAUUGGAACUGAGACACGGUCCAAACUCCUACGGGAGGCAGCAGUGAGGAAUAUUGGUAAAUGGGCGAGAGCCUGAACCAGCCAAGUAGCGUGCAGGAAGACGGCCCUAUGGGUUGUAAACUGCUUUUAUAAGGGAAUAAAGUGGGUCACGUGUGACUUUUUGCAUGUACCUUAUGAAUAAGGACCGGCUAAUUCCGUG